CAGCGUUGUUCUGGAUUCCCGCUGUAACUUAAAGGGAAACUUUCACAAUGUCCGGAGCGGUUGAUGUCCUGCAAGUGGAGGAGGAAGAUGUCCUUAAGUUCCUUGCAGCAAGAACCCACUUUGUUGGCACCAAUCUUUACUUCCAAAUGGAACAGUACAUCUGUAAAAGGAAAAGUGAUGGCAUUGCUCUUGCCAUUGCUGCCAUUGAAAACCGUGCUGAUGUCAGUGUUAUAUCCUCCAGGAAUACUGGCCAGAGGGCCGUGCUGAAGUUUGCUGCUGCCACUGGAGCCACUCCAGUUGCUGGCUGCUUCACUCCUGGAACCUUCACUAACCGGAUCCAGGCAACCUUCCGGGAGCCACGGCUUCCUGCGGUUACUGACCCCAGGGUUGAGUACCAGUCUUUCACGGAGGCGUCUUUUGUUAACCUACCUAUGACUGCUCUGUGUAACACAGAUUCUCCUCUGUGCUAUGUGUACAUUGCCAUUCCACGCAACAACAAAGGAGUUUACUCAGUUGGUUCGAUGUGGUGGAUGCUGGUCCCGAAAGUUCAGCGCCUAAGUGGCAGCAUUUCCCGUGAACACCCGUGGCAGGUUAUGCCUGAUCCCUGCUUCUACAGAGAUUUUGAAGAGCUUGAAAAAGAAGAGCAGGCUGCUGCUGAAAAGGCUGUGACCAAGGAGGAAUUUCAGGGUGAAUGGGUAGAAGCAACCACUGAAUGGUCUUAA